rnacentral:pre_miRNA from 1 species
UGUAAACAUCCUUGACUGGAAGCUGUAAGGUGCUAGAAGGGAGCUUUCAGUCGGAUGUUUACAGC